rnacentral:tRNA from 1 species
GUCAGGAUGGCCGAGCGGUCCAAGGCGCUGCAUUAAGGGUGCAGUCUCCCUGGGAGACGUGGGUUCGAAUCCCACUCCUGACA